AGCGGCGAGCGAACGGGGAGCAGCCCAGAGUCUGAAUCAGCUUGUGUGUUAGUGGAACGGUCUGGAAAGUCCGACGGUACAGGGUGAUAGUCCCGUACACCAAAAUGCACAGGUUGUGAACUCGAAGAGUAGGGCGGGACACGUGGUAUCCUGUCUGAAUAUGGGGGGACCAUCCUCCAAGGCUAAAUACUCCUGACUGACCGAUAGUGAACCAGUACCGUGAGGGAAAGGCGAAAAGAACCCCGGCGAGGGGAGUGAAAAAGAACCUGAAACCGUGUACGUACAAGCAGUGGGAGCACCUUCGGGUGUGACUGCGUACCUUUUGUAUAAUGGGUCAGCGACUUAUAUUCUGUAGCAAGGUUAACCGUAUAGGGGAGCCGCAGGGAAACCGAGUCUUAACUGGGCGUUAAGUUGCAGGGUAUAGACCCGAAACCCGGUGAUCUAGCCAUGGGCAGGUUGAAGGUUGGGUAACACUAACUGGAGGACCGAACCGACUAAUGUUGAAAAAUUAGCGGAUGACUUGUGGCUGGGGGUGAAAGGCCAAUCAAACCGGGAGAUAGCUGGUUCUCCCCGAAAGCU
rnacentral:rRNA from 1 species